rnacentral:sRNA from 1 species
UGAUAAUUUUUUUGCAGACUGACAAAUCGUCCCAUGCAUGUUUUCAUCAACUUGUACAGUUCAUG